GACGAACGCUGGCGGCGUGCUUAACACAUGCAAGUCGAACGGAAAGGCCCUGCUUUUGUGGGGUGCUCGAGUGGCGAACGGGUGAGUAACACGUGAGUAACCUGCCCUUGACUUUGGGAUAGCUUCAGGAAACUGGGGCUAAUACCGGAUAGGAGCUCCUGCUGCAUGGUGGGGGUUGGAAAGUUUCGGCGGUUGGGGAUGGACUCGCGGCUUAUCAGCUUGUUGGUGGGGUAGUGGCUUACCAAGGCUUUGACGGGUAGCCGGCCUGAGAGGGUGACCGGCCACAUUGGGACUGAGAUACGGCCCAGACUCCUACGGGAGGCAGCAGUGGGGAAUAUUGCACAAUGGGCGGAAGUCUGAUGCAGCAACGCCGCGUGCGGGAUGACGGCCUUCGGGUUGUAAACCGCUUUCGCCUGUGACGAAGCGUGAGUGACGGUAAUGGGUAAAGAAGCACCGGCUAACUACGUGCCAGCAGCCGCGGUGAUACGUAGGGUGCGAGCGUUGUCCGGAUUUAUUGGGCGUAAAGGGCUCGUAGGUGGUUGAUCGCGUCGGAAGUGUAAUCUUGGGGCUUAACCCUGAGCGUGCUUUCGAUACGGGUUGACUUGAGGAAGGUAGGGGAGAAUGGAAUUCCUGGUGGAGCGGUGGAAUGCGCAGAUAUCAGGAGGAACACCAGUGGCGAAGGCGGUUCUCUGGGCCUUUCCUGACGCUGAGGAACGAAAGCGUGGGGAGCGAACAGGCUUAGAUACCCUGGUAGUCCACGCUGUAAACGGUGGGUACUAGGUGUGGGGUCCAUUCCACGGGUUCCGUGCCGUAGCUAACGCUUUAAGUACCCCGCCUGGGGAGUACGGCCGCAAGGCUAAAACUCAAAGGAAUUGACGGGGCCCCGCACAAGCGGCGGAGCAUGCGGAUUAAUUCGGUGCAACGCGUAGAACCUUACCUGGGUUUGACAUGGAUCGGGAGUGCUCAGAGAUGGGUGUGCCUCUUUUGGGGUCGGUUCACAGGUGGUGCAUGCCUGUCGUCAGCUCGUGUCGUGAGAUGUUGGGUUAAGUCCCGCAACGAGCGCAACCCUUGUUCACUGUUGCCAGCACGUUAUGGUGGGGACUCAGUGGAGACCGCCGGGGUCAACUCGGAGGAAGGUGGGGAUGACGUCAAGUCCUCAUGCCCCUUAUGUCCAGGGCUUCACGCAUGCUACAAUGGCUGGUACAGAGAGUGGCGAGCCUGUGAGGGUGAGCGAAUCUCGGAAAGCCGGUCUCAGUUCGGAUUGGGGUCUGCAACUCGACCUCAUGAAGUCGGAGUCGCUAGUAAUCGCAGAUCAGCAACGCUGCUGUGAAUACGUUCCCGGGGCU
rnacentral:rRNA from 1 species